UACGUAGGGUGCGAGCGUUGUCCGGAAUUAUUGGGCGUAAAGAGCUUGUAGGCGGUCUGUCGCGUCUGCUGUGAAAAUCCGGGGCUCAACCCCGGACUUGCAGUGGGUACGGGCAGACUAGAGUGUGGUAGGGGAGACUGGAAUUCCUGGUGUAGCGGUGAAAUGCGCAGAUAUCAGGAGGAACACCAAUGGCGAAGGCAGGUCUCUGGGCCACUACUGACGCUGAGAAGCGAAAGCAUGGGGAGCGAACAGG
rnacentral:rRNA from 1 species